AUACAAAGUCGUUUCCCUUGUCUA
rnacentral:siRNA from 1 species